AUGAAGAACGUAGCGAAAUGCGAUAAGUAAUGUGAAUUGCAUAAUUCAGUGAAUCAUCGAAUCUUUGAACGCACAUUGCGCCCCCUGGUAUUCCGGGGGGCAUGCCUGUCCGAGCGUCAUUACAACCCUCAAGCUCAGCUUGGUGUUGGGCCCCGCCGCCCCGGCGGGCCCUAAAGUCAGUGGCGGUGCCGUCCGGCUCCGAGCGUAGUAAUUCUUCUCGCUCUGGAGGUCCGGUCGUGUGCUCGCCAGCAACCCCCAAUUUUUUUCAGGUUGACCUCGGAUCAGGUAGGGAUACCCGCUUAACUUAAGCAUAUCAAUAAGCGGAGGA
rnacentral:misc_RNA from 1 species